GACGUAGGGCGCGAGCGUUGUCCGGAUUUAUUGGGCGUAAAGAGCUCGUAGGCGGCUUGUUGCGUCGGCUGUGAAAACCCGCGGCUUAACUGCGGGCUUGCAGUUGAUACGGGCAGGCUAGAGUUCGGUAGGGGAGACUGGAAUUCCUGGUGUAGCGGUGAAAUGCGCAGAUAUCAGGAGGAACACCGGUGGCGAAGGCGGGUCUCUGGGCCGAUACUGACGCUGAGGAGCGAAAGCGUGGGGAGCGAACAGG
rnacentral:rRNA from 1 species